rnacentral:rRNA from 1 species
AUUGAACGCUGGCGGCAGGCCUAACACAUGCAAGUCGAGCGGAUGAAGGGAGCUUGCUCCUGGAUUCAGCGGCGGACGGGUGAGUAAUGCCUAUGAAUCUGCCUGGUAGUGGGGGAUAACGUCCGGAAACGGGCGCUAAUACCGCAUACGACCUGAGGGAGAAAGUGGGGGAUCUUCGGACCUCUUGCUAUCAGAUGAGCCUAGGUCGGAUUAGCUAGUUGGUGGGGUAAAGGCCUACCAAGGCGGCGAUCCGUAACUGGUCUGACAGGAUGGUCAGUCACACUGGAACUGAGACACGGUCCAGACUCCUACGGGAGGCAGCAGUGGGGAAUAUUGGACAAUGGACGAGAGCCUGAUACAGCCAUGCCGCGUGUGUGAAGAAGGUCUUCGGAUUGUAAAGCACUUUAAGUUGGGAGGAAGGGCAGUAAGUUAAUACCUUGCUGUUUUGACGUUACCAGCAGAAUAAGCACCGGCUAACUUCGUG